ensembl:lncRNA
GAAGUGCAGCAGUUCAAGCUGAUACCCAAAUACGCCUGUAAGGACUCAAUGCAGAAAUGCUUUUGGAUGACUGUAUCACCUGAAAACAGCUUGAACACUGAUUCAAAGCCCUUUCAGCUGCCUAAAAAUAGUUCCCAAUUUUUUAAAAAGUAGUCCUUUGACAUGAGAUGAAGACUGGUUUGGAGAGACUCCACAAUGACGUUGUGCAGUGCGUGUCUCCAGGAGCUGUAUAUGCCAUGGCAUCUGGGGUCAGAGCAUCAAAAUACUUCAAAGGGGAAAAUACAUAUAUGCCUUGCAGCAGCCAAGGAAGAUUCUGAGAAAUCCAUUAAACUGAACUUGAAAGGACAGAGAACAUCCUGCCUGGGAAAGCUGCCGCACAGACUGGUUUCUCCAGCCUGCAAAGAAAGCUCCAAUCAAUGGAUAGAUAAGAAAUGCAUUUUUGUUUCACUUUUAAUAAGGAGUUCAAUCAAUUCACAAAUUUCUUCAAAGUCACAAUCAAGAUAAUUUGAAAUUUAAAAGAAAAACCUGAAUGUGAGUGAAACUGAUAUCGAUAAAUUGAGACAUCCUUUUAAACCCCAGAACUUGGACUGCAUGAACCUCUUGUGUAUUCGGUCAUUUUAGUACUGAGCUAGGAUUCCCACUUAUUUAUUAUUCCCUUAUAUGACUCUUCAUUUUUAAACCCAAAUUGUAGGCAGGAUCAGCAUGGGCCUCUCUAUGCGGACAUUUGCUGCAUCGGUUGAAUUUAUUCUGGUCCAAAUACCAGAAAAUGUUAUUUCAUGCGAGGGGAGGGAUGUGUAUCAAGAUGCCAAAUUCCUCUUGUUCAAGAUGUGAUGGAUCUGGAGCUUAAAAAUGUGUGUGUGUGUGUGAGGGGGGGGGGGGGUUGAAAGAAAGCACAACUGACAGAUUGUCUGCUCCAGGUAUUAUUGGACCGAACCUCUCACUGCCCCCUCUAGCUAUGCUGUCUUACACGUCUGGGAAUUGUAGUGCACUAACUUCUGGAGGGAUUUACAGCUCUAUUGUGAUGAGUUUAAUCCCAUGCCUAACACAGAAGGACAGGACAAAGAGCCUUGACAGAAAAAUAAAAGCCACUGACACGGUCAAAGAAUAAAUCUCAGCUGAGUGAUUUAUUUAUUUAUUUAUUUACCAUAUUUAUGCCCCGCCCGUCUCACCCCGAAGGGGACUCAGAACAGCUUACAAAACUAUGGCAAAAUUCAAUGCCACAUCAUACACAUAACAAUAAACAUGCCACAUGGAAAAUGACGGAAAGGAAUUGAUUCCAUGUCAUAUACUUUUGGUUAAGAAAAAAACUCUGUUCGUUCCAUAGUAACACAGGGAUUUCCCAAACAUAUAAAUGAACUAGCUGUGCCCGGCCACGCGUUGCUGUGGCUUUUUUUUAGUGAUGUUGGUCAAUCUACAUUGGGUUUUAUUUUUGUUGUGACCGUCAACAAAAAUUAUACAGUAUUAUUUAUUCAUUUAUUACAUUAAAGACAUAUGAUAGGAUAUUACGCUAUAACAUAUACGACUAUUUCACAAUAUUAGUAGUUAUAUAUAUAUAUAUAUAUAUAUAUAUAUAUAUAUAUAUUGUUUUGUUUUGUUAUUAGUAUUAUAUUGUAGUGUAUUAUAAUAUUAUUAGCAGUAUUAUAUGUAUAUACAAUGUGUUGUAUUAUAUAUGUAUUGUCUUAUUAUAUAUAUUAAUAUAUUGCAAAUUGGCCCCAGAGUACGGAAUGGCCUUGUAGUUUCAAAGCUUGGGUGGUUCCGUGUGUUAGAGGGGGGGAAUGCUUUGUUGGGAGGUGCUAGGUGGUCCUGAUUGUUUCCUGGAUGGAAUUUGUGUGUUUUCAGACUGUUGUUGUUUAUUUACUGUGCUGAGAUGAGAGAGUGAUGAGUACGGAAUGGCCUUGUAGGUUCAAAGUGUGGGUGGUUUCCUGUGUGAAGGGGGGAAUCCUUUGGUGGGAGGUGUUAGAUGGCCCUGAUUGUUUCCUGGAUGGAAUAGCUGUGUUUUUAGAGUGUUGAUCUUUAUUUACUGUCCUGAGAUGAUAUUGUUGUGUAUUAUUGUACCACAGUAAUUAUUUCAUAUUACAGUAGAAUCUCACCCAACAUUCGUUUAUGCAAUGUUCUGGAUUAUGCAAUGGAGUCUGCCUUUUAAUAGUCAAUGUUUUUGGAGUGAGUGUUUUUAAUGUAUUGUGAUAUUUUGGUGGUAAAUUUGCAAAUACAGUAAUUACUACAUAGCAUUACUGCGCAUGGAACUACUUUUUGUGUCAAAUUUGUUGUAUAACAUGAUGUUUUGGUGUUUAAUUUGUAUAAUGAUGACCUAAUUCGAUGUGUAAUUGGUUUUCCUGAAUCCCUUCUUAUUAUCCAACAUAUUUAUUUAUGCAACGUUCUGCCGGCUUGUUUAUGUUGGAUAAGUGAGAUUCUAGUGUAUAUUUAUAAUGUGAUAUUAUUUGUUUAGAAGUGGAUUAUAUGAGGCGCCUUCUGUUAUAACAAUAAUAAUUAUUAUAGUCUUGAAUGAUUAUCAUUGUGAUAAAAAUAAUAACUACUUAUUAUUAGUUGUUAUUAUAUUGUUGAAUGAUUAUCAAUGUUAUAAUAAUAAUUAUUAAUUUGUGAAUGAUUAUUACUAUAAUAAUAAUAAUAAUUUUCUAUUAUUACGAUUUGUUAAUACAUUGUCACGACCCAGGCUACAGAGCACCAAUAACCAUACGCAGAGGCCAGAUUCUAUCUAAUAUCUUUAUUAAGGAAAUAUAUAAAGUUAGUAAAAGCAAGUGUAAAAGUUAGUCCAGAAGCAGACCUUUCAGGAAAGGUCAAAAUUAGUCCAAAGAAACAAUGUCCAAUAUGAAAUAUUAAGGUCCAAAGUUGUAAUCCAAUAACCGAAACACUCACUUUGCCAGGCAAAGUGAGGGGAGAUGACAAGGUCCUUUAGUCCAUGAACUUGAGCAAGGCUAGGAAAUAACUUGAUACUUGAAACAAGGCUUGAAACGUGGAACAAGGUAACGAGGAACAAGAACAAGGUCCGUGGAAUAACUUGGUAAAAUCCGUGAAACAAGGCAAGGGUUAGUCCUGGGAAACAAGGCAAGAUCCGUAGGUAAACAAAGGCUGGGAAACAGGAGCGAAGGCUGGAAACAAGGCAAGGCUUGAGCAGGAACGAGGCUUGAAUCGGAGCGCGCUGUCCAGACACAACUCGCUCCGGAGGCUGACGAAUUGACUCCGCGAAGUUACUACGCGGGUAAAACACCUAUAUAGAGUCUAACUUUCCCGCCGGAGCAGUUCUCUGGGAACCAGAAACGAAAGCUAAACUCAGAGACCAGAUGUCU